rnacentral:lncRNA from 1 species
AGACAAGCAGGCAGUGGUAUCUACAGAUGAUGACAGCUUUGGGUCCCUCCAGCGGCAGGACCCCUCACCCACCAACAGUGUCAUUCGAGGAUUCCUCUUACCUCCGCUGCUGAAAGGUCAGACAGCAUCAGUGACCAUCAUCAUCAGGUGAUGAGAAGGCCGUUCUUGCUGAGAACCGGUUCCCAGCGUUAGCCGCAAUGGCAUGGCACAGCACGACACAUUGUUUACUCUCUUGGAGAGAGAGCCUUUCUCUCUUUAUGAACAAAGAAAGAAGUUAGAACUGUGCUCACACGUUAAAGUGUGAAUCAUAACUUUAUGAGAAACAUUAGGCAAUUUACCCAUCUAUAAAUGAGUUGUCAGUUAAUUAUGAUAUCUCAAUUAAAUAGAGUGUGACGUC